AAGUGUUAGAGUUCUUUUAGAAUUUGUCUAGUAGGUUUGCUAGUAAAAAUUAGUUAGCUGGG
ensembl:snRNA U7 U7 small nuclear RNA